UACAGAGGUCUCAAGCGUUGUUCGGAUUCAUUGGGCGUAAAGGGUGCGUAGGCGGCGCGGUAAGUCGGGUGUGAAAUUCGACGGGCUUAACUUCCGAAACUGCAUUCGAUACUGCCGUGCUUGAGGACUGGAGAGGAGACUGGAAUUCCCGGUGUAGCGGUGAAAUGCGCAGAUAUCGGGAAGAACACCCGUGGCGAAGGCGGUUCUCUGGGACGGUACUGACGCUGAGGCGCGAAAGCGUGGGGAGCAAACGGG
rnacentral:rRNA from 1 species